rnacentral:rRNA from 1 species
GACGAACGCUGGCGGCGUGCUUAACACAUGCAAGUCGAACGGAAAGGCCUGCUUUCCCUUGUGGAUUGCGGGUACUCGAGUGGCGAACGGGUGAGUAACACGUGAGUGAUCUGCCCCCAACUUGGGUAUAAGCCUGGGAAACUGGGUCUAAUUCCCGAUAGGACUGCAGGGUGGUGCCUGUGGUGGAAAACGAUUUUCUAGUGGUUGGGGAUGAGCUCGCGGCCUAUCAGCUUGUUGGUGGGGUAAUGGCCUACCAAGGCGGCGACGGGUAGCCGGCCUGGGAGGGUGGACGGCCACAUUGGGACUGAGAUACGGCCCGGACUCCUACGGGAGGCAGCAGUGGGGAAUAUUGCACAAUGGGCGGAAGCCUGAUGCAGCCACGCCGCGUGGGGGAUGACGGCCUUCGGGUUGUAAACUCCUUUCGACAGCGAGGAAGCCACCUGGUUGGAAGGGUGGUGACGGUAGUGUUAGAAGAAGCACCGGCUAACUACGUG